rnacentral:rRNA from 1 species
AGUGAACGCUGGCGGUAGGCCUAACACAUGCAAGUCGAACGGCAGCACAGUAAGAGCUUGCUCUUACGGGUGGCGAGUGGCGGACGGGUGAGGAAUACAUCGGAAUCUACUUUUUCGUGGGGGAUAACGUAGGGAAACUUACGCUAAUACCGCAUACGACCUACGGGUGAAAGCAGUGGAUCUUCGGACCUUGCGCGAUUGAAUGAGCCGAUGUCGGAUUAGCUAGUUGGCGGGGUACAGGCCCACCAAGGCGCCGAUCCGUAGCUGGUCUGAGAGGAGGGUCAGGCACACUGGAGCUGAGAGACGGCCCAGACUCUGACGGGAGGCAGAAGUGGGGAAGGUUGGACAAUGGGCGCAAGCCUGAACCAGCCAUACCGCGGGGGUGAAGAAGGCCUUCGGGUUGUAAAGCCCUUUUGUUGGGAAAGAAAAGCAGCAGGUUAAUACCCCGCUGUUCUGACGGUACCCAAAGAAUAAGCACCGGCGAACUUCGU